UACAGAGGUCUCAAGCGUUGUUCGGAUUCAUUGGGCGUAAAGGGUGCGUAGGCGGCGCGGUAAGUCGGGUGUGAAAUCUCGGAGCUUAACUCCGAAACUGCAUUCGAUACUGCCGUGCUUGAGGACUGGAGAGGAGACUGGAAUUUACGGUGUAGCGGUGAAAUGCGUAGAUAUCGUAAGGAAGACCAGUGGCGAAGGCGCGUCUCUGGACAGUUCCUGACGCUGAGGCACGAAGGCCAGGGGAGCAAACGGG
rnacentral:rRNA from 1 species